rnacentral:rRNA from 1 species
CAAUAGCGUAUAUUAAAGUUGUUGCGGUUAAAAAGCUCGUAGUUGGAGUUCUGCCAGGUGCCGCCUGUCCGCCCCAGUGGUGAGUACGUGGCGCGCAUUUGGCCCUUUCAAGGGGAGCGUAUCUGCACUUUAUUGUGUGGUGCGGGAUCCUUGACUUUUACUUUGAGGAAAUAGGAGUGUUCCAAGCAGGCUCUCGUCGUGCACAGCUCAGCAUGGAAUAAUAGCAUUGGACCUCGAUUCUAAGCUGUUGGUUGCCAGAAGCGAGGUAAUGAUGAAGAGGGAUAGUUGGGGGCAUUCGUAUUUAACUGUCAGAGGUGAAAUUCUCGGAUUUGUUAAAGACGGACUACUGCGAAAGCAUCUGCCAUGGAUGUUUUCAUUGA